rnacentral:rRNA from 1 species
AUGGCGACCGGCGCACGGGUGAGUUAACGCGUAUCCAACCUACCUAUUACCACGGGAUAACCCGGCGAAAGUCGGACUAAUACCGUAUGCGGUCCUCCAAUGGCAUCAGCAGUGGACUAAAGGUUUGGCGGUAAUAGAUGGGGAUGCGUCCGAUUAGCUAGUUGGUGAGGUAAUGGCUCCCCAAGGCUUCGAUCGGUAGGGGUUCUGAGAGGAAGGUCCCCCACACUGGAACUGAGACACGGUCCAGACUCCUACGGGAGGCAGCAGUGAGGAAUAUUGGUCAAUGGACGAGAGUCUGAACCAGCCAAGUAGCGUGCAGGAUGACUGCCCUAUGGGUUGUAAACUGCUUUUAUGCGGGGAUAAAGUGGGGAACGUGUUCUCUAUUGCAGGUACCGCAUGAAUAAGGACCGGCUAAUUCCGUGCCAGCAGCCGCGGUAAUACGGAAGGUCCAGGCGUUAUCCGGAUUUAUUGGGUUUAAAGGGAGCGUAGGCCGUUUUUUAAGCGUGUUGUGAAAUGUACCGGCUCAACCGGUGAUGUGCAGCGCGAACUGGAGGACUUGAGUGCGUAGUAAGCAGGCGGAAUUCGUGGUGUAGCGGUGAAAUGCUUAGAUAUCACGAAGAACUCCGAUAGCGCAGGCAGCUUGCUGCAUCGCAACUGACGCUGAUGCUCGAAAGCGUGGGUAUCAAACAGGAUUAGAUACCCUGGUAGUCCACGCGGUAAACGAUGGAUGCUCGUUGUCAGGCCUUCGGGUUUGGUGACCAAGUGAAAACGUUNAGCAUCCCACCUGGGGAGUACGCCCGC